GGAUAAGAAUUUUAAGAUUUUUAAGCCAAGAUCAAAUAACUUGGCAUUCUCGUGAGUUGCUUGCAUAUGAAUUAUUACUGGUUACUCGUAACUCCAUUCCACGAAUUCUACGCUGUGAAAAGGUCUCUACCUCAGGCAAAGAGUAGAAUUGGAUGGCUUCUUCAAGACUAGCUUCCCAAAAUGGAGCAUGUCGUCUGCAAUGAAUAUAUGAGAGAUUGUGGCCUUG
rnacentral:misc_RNA from 1 species